AUGAUUUUAUGCGCUGAGCGAUACUGUAGAUUUACACUGAGGCUUUUGUGCAGAUGUGAGAUCAGAAGCAAAUUGCUGCCCUUAUCCCAUAAUCUCAGCCUGAGCUCACAGUAAUGUGUUUGUUCUGCUUUCUGCUAAGUUUUGCUCUUUUCUUCCCUUCGUUCUGUCUGUCCCAUCUGUCCAUCCGCCUGAAGAGCUGUCUAUCAGAAUGGCCUUUGGGUGGUACUGUAUCAUCUUCAAAAUGCUCGCUCGCUCCCUCUCUCUCUCUCUCUCUCUCUCUCUCUCUCUCUCUCGCUUUCUCUCAGCAGCAUGUUGAGAGCAGAUUGGUCAGUAUGUAACCCACAUCAUUGUAUGCCCUCUGGUCAUAGACCUGAUACCCUUCAGCCUCAUCUCAGCAUUAGAACAGACCUCUGUCUGUCUGUCUGUCUAUCUGUCUGUCUGUCUGCCUGAUGAGGUCAGGUUAUGGCAAACCAUUGGCAGGGUCAUCUCUCUCUCCCUUUCUCUCUCUCUCUCUCUCUGUUUCCUCCGCUUCCUCACUCUCUCUCACACACACACACACACACAUCUAUCAAGACCCUCUGUGUCUGGAAAGAUUGUCUAGGAGUGAUUUUCGAGAUUUUUCCCCACUUAGGAUCGAGCGCCGAGUGUGGUUUCGAGUGGUCAGCUGCUGCUGCAGAGGCAGGCGGCCUAUCCUUCCGCUCAGAACCGAACCUCCCGCCAAGUGGCUUCUUUCAGCCCCAGCUAAACUCUCUCUCAGAAAUCUCUCAAGAGAGAGAGAAAUUUCUAAACCCUGCCCCGAGGAGCUCAUAAAAGACUCUGUGAAAGGUACUUUCACAUUUCCACCUCUUUCCACUCCCACAGUGCUGCAACUGCUUGGCCUGUGGAAGAAGAAGAAGAAAAAGAACACUGGACGGCCCUUCGAUGUCGAGGGCUGGGUCUUAAUGAAAAGCACAGGCUCCACACCGGGCCCACGCCAAACGUAGCGAAUCGGAUAUGUCCCAUUAGUGCCACAAGUGCCACGCAAGCCCCAGGUUUGACUUGAAAUAACAUUUAAAAGUGUUCUCAAUGAAAAGAAAACACAGCAGCAAUUAAUCUGUCUGGAUUUAUGGCCAAUUCCCCACACGUGAUUUAGGGCCUGGAGGUCCACCAGGAGUCGUGAUAGUCUACAGCGACUAUAAAGUUGAUCUAGGUGCUUGUUAUGGCAGGUGAGGGAGAACAGUUUGGCUAUUGUGUAAGAGUAGAAACACAACACGGAUGAAAGGUGCAGGAUUUUUUUACACGAGACCCGGCGCUCGGAAAAGUCUGAAACGUGGCUUCAUCCGUUCAGACAGACGCCAAACACGUCGAGAAGGUGACGGCGUCCCGCAGCGAUCGGACAGUUCUCCACGCCGGAUUCGCGCUUCCUCGCCUUCACACAUCCAAACACAAACACAAACACUCUGUCUCCAUCCGGUCCCCCGGUUCCUGCUUCCAUCACACAUUCUCCUCUCUUUCUGUGCCCGGCCAUUUCCGAGAGUUCACACAGUCCACUCCUCCAGGGUUUAGAGACGACCCGGAGGACCAAGCAGCACCGACAGGUCCAAAUCAAAACGUCUCGGCUGAAUCCGACACCUACGAUCUUUGCAGCCUGGUGUUGCUAUUGAUCUCCACACUUAUUCGGAUGAGUACGAAAGAUUAAGUCCAGACUUGUUUGCAGUGUGUUAUCCGUUUCCUUCAGUCUACACCAGAUGGAUUUUUUUUGGUCAUUUUAUUUGAUUUAUUUAUUUAUUUAUUCAGAACCCUUCUUAAACAUUUUAGAAUUACUUUGACGUUAGCGGGUGGCAACGGUUAGUUCAUGCAUCACUUAGGCUAGAGAAACAGAUUCCCCAGCCGGCGCUGAAAUUCACUCCCAUGUCACAAUUUUAUUUUCGCAGCAGAAUAUAUGAGCGCGCGACAGCAAACGAACGCGACGUUUAGUCAUUUUUCUUCGCAAAGUCAAUCUUGUACUUCUGUCCCAGAGCAACAUUUGCGUGUUUGUGAUGGGAAAUUAUUCAGCGAGGCCGUGCUGAUCGAUGCGAGCGCUAUAAAGAUUAGUUUGAGGCUUGAUGACUGAAUGCUUGGCAUAACAGGAGCCAUUAGCGUGCCGGGUAACGUAUUCGUUUUUCUCUUAUGGCAGGUCCGAUAAGCGAGUGUGUGUCCUGGGUGAUGAGUGGAGCAUCGUUCGCCCAGAAAUGUCAAUCAGUGCACUUCAUUAGUUUGCCACAUUAACUGAUGGACUCUGUAUAGGCGUGUGUGUGUGUGUGUGUGUGUGUGUGUUGAUGAUGACAGCACUGUGGCUUGGUUCCCAUGUUACUGGUCGGCAAAUUUUCAGACACAGUUGAGUGUGACAUCACGGAAAAAGUGCUGUAUUCAAGAUUUAAAGAUUUCCCUGCAUACAGGAAGAGAAAACACACACACACACACACACACACACACACACACACACACACACACACCAGAUAAAUACAUACAUAAAUGUAGUGUAGUGAUGUCUGGAUUAAAAAAAGAAAUAAAUCCAUAGCAUUUAGUUACAUAUAGGAUCAAAGUAAAUAAAU
ensembl:lncRNA